ACAUGCCUACAACAUAGCGUUAAUGCACCAGAUCCCAUUAGAACUCCGCAUUUAAGAACGCUUGGGCUAGAGUAGUACUGGGAUGGGUGACCGCCUGAGAAGUCCUAUUAUUUUACAUGCC
rfam:Picea glauca, whole genome shotgun sequence.